AUGGCGUGGACUCUGCUCUUGGCCGUCUUCUUCACGUGGAGCACAGGAUCAACCUCACAGUCUGUGGUGUCUCAACCUCCAUCAGCCUCCGUGUCCCCUGGAAACACAGUGAAACUGGCCUGUACCUUGGGCAGUGGGGUCAACAUUGGCAGCUACAGGAUACAUUGGUUCCAGCAGAAGCCUCCGAGUGCUCCACGUUUUCUCUUGCAUUUCCACACAGAUUCUGACAAAGGUCAAGGCUCCGGAGUUCCUUCUCGAUUCUCUGGUUCUAAAGAAACCUCCACAAACACUGGCUAUUUAUCCAUUUCUGGAGUUCUGGCAGAGGAUGAGGCUGAUUAUUACUGUGCUACAUGGUACAGCAGCACGUUUCACAGUGUGUAUGUCUUCGGGCCCGGAACCCAGCUAACUGCCACAGGUCAGCCCACAGUGCCUCCUCAAGUGCGACUCUUUGGUCCUUCCCAGGAGGAGGUGGAAAGACAGGAGGCCACCUUGUCGUGUCUCAUGAUCGACUUCUACCCGUCUGGUCUCACCGUAGAAUGGAAGGCUGAUGAUAAGCCGAUCACAGCUGGAGUGGAGACAACCAAAGCCACCAAACAGGGCAGCAGCUAUGUUGCCAGCAGCUACCUGAACAUCCCCGCAGCUGACUAUCAAAAGCAUGCAACUUACACCUGUGAAGUGACACACGAAGGAAAGACCUUCAGCAAGUCGGUGUCACCAUCGGGAAGUUGUUAAUGCAGUCGUGAAUCCUUGUCCUGCCGUCGGGCAGCAGGAAAGAGCCCCUCCUCCAUGGCUCUCCUUCAUUGGUCUUAGCUCGAUCAAUGACGUCUACUUCUGUCCCCUUUAGUUACGCUCCUGCAUCCUCCCCAUGCCUCCACCCCCUGAAAUCAAUCCCCACCCCCACUUGACCUCUUAGAUUCUACUGUUAGCACAUUAAU